GGGUUGUGAGGUUAAGCGACUAAGCGUACACGGUGGAUGCCCUGGCAGUCAGAGGCGAUGAAGGACGUGCUAAUCUGCGAUAAGCGUCGGUAAGGUGAUAUGAACCGUUAUAACCGGCGAUUUCCGAAUGGGGAAACCCAGUGUGUUUCGACACACUAUCAUUAACUGAAUCCAUAGGUUAAUGAGGCGAACCGGGGGAACUGAAACAUCUAAGUACCCCGAGGAAAAGAAAUCAACCGAGAUUCCCCCAGUAGCGGCGAGCGAACGGGGAGGAGCCCAGAGCCUGAACCAGUGUGUGUGUUAGUGGAAGCGUCUGGAAAGGCGCGCGAUACAGGGUGACAGCCCCGUACACAAAAAUGCACAUGCUGUGAGCUCGAUGAGUAGGGCGGGACACGUGGUAUCCUGUCUGAAUAUGGGGGGACCAUCCUCCAAGGCUAAAUACUCCUGACUGACCGAUAGUGAACCAGUACCGUGAGGGAAAGGCGAAAAGAACCCCGGCGAGGGGAGUGAAAAAGAACCUGAAACCGUGUACGUACAAGCAGUGGGAGCACGCUUCGGCGUGUGACUGCGUACCUUUUGUAUAAUGGGUCAGCGACUUAUAUUCUGUAGCAAGGUUAACCGAAUAGGGGAGCCGAAGGGAAACCGAGUCUUAACUGGGCGUUAAGUUGCAGGGUAUAGACCCGAAACCCGGUGAUCUAGCCAUGGGCAGGUUGAAGGUUGGGUAACACUAACUGGAGGACCGAACCGACUAAUGUUGAAAAAUUAGCGGAUGACUUGUGGCUGGGGGUGAAAGGCCAAUCAAACCGGGAGAUAGCUGGUUCUCCCCG
rnacentral:rRNA from 2 species